UAUUAAUAUAACCCCAUAAUAAUAUGUGGAACGUGGUAUUAUCAUAUUUUCAUAAUUUUAUCAGAAAAUAAUAUUAUUUUUGUGUGUACGGACUACGAAUAACCAAUUGCCAAUAAUUGGUCAUUAGCGCACAAUCAGUUAUACACUUGGUAUUACAAUGUUGCAUGUAUAGCCCCCUACGCUGUUUUACACUUUUGUAAUAUUUAUUAAUUAGGUUGCAGAUUUAGAAGAACCAAUUUACCCUGGCCAAAUGAUCAAAAAUAUUUUAAAGUAUUAAGAGUCAUUAAGGAUAAUUUUUUUACAAGAAGCUGAAAGUGAAGUGCUCAAGUUGUGUCGAUACAAAGUGUUACAAGACACAACAUUCAACUAUAUUAAAGAAAAUUGAUCAUAUUGAAAGUGCAGUGAACAAAAACACUUUAAAGAGACACAAUGAUGGAUCAUUGAAGCAUAAUGCUGGUAGUUCUUUAAAACAACCAGUUUUAGAAGAUUUUUUGAACAACAAAAAAUUAACUAGUCAAAGU